GCAAUCAUUUUUUUAAAAGCUGCUUUCAAAAAAUGGGAGAAGCAUGUAGAGAAAAGGGCAUCAAAGGAGACUAGGAGAUUUAGUUGAACAAAUCCUCUUUCAUACAGCAAUAGCACUUUUCUCUUAUAGUGCCUUCUGCGGCAGUAUCCCAAAGAUUUUUAUCUUUUUUUUACAGAUGAGAAAACUGAGGCCAUGGGAUAGGCCAUUUAUUUGGGUUAGAUUUUAAGAGAGCUCUCCAAUGCAAGUAUUAUUCAUAUGGCAUGUGCAUUUUACAUUAGUGAAAGCAAAAGCUGUUUUGUUAAUGCUUUCAGUGGGAAAAUGGAUCAUGCAGAUCUCCCUCAGGAUUUUGAACACAGCAUUACUUAGAUCCAUUUAUGUACAUGUAGAAAAUCAUAAUAAAUGUGGUUUGCUUGGCGAAGGUAUAUCAUUGCUACUUGUGCAGGCAGAGAAAAUGCUUCUCAGGCAGUUAUUGCUCUUACAGUUUCAUCUGUAAAGUUAAAAAGCAGAAUAAGUCCAUGACCUAAAGAUCACUAGCACAUUAUUUUUACCUUCCUGAACUUGCGAAGCCCUUAACGGGAAAACGUUUCAACCUUCAGUUUUAAGAGACUGUAUGUUGAGAAAGAAAGGGAAGUCCUCUCUUUUACUUAUUCCUGGUUUUGUUAAAAAAUUGAGCUUUUCCGUUUUAAUACCGAUGUCAUGAUCACAUAGACACCUGCACAUUUAUCACUAUUUCAGUUUACUGCAUAGACUUAGCACCAGACAGAAUCACUCUAAUAGAAGUUUUAUUUAAAGACCACUGUGGGCAUGAUAAAAUCUGUUUUCAGAGGAAUAGGACAGACAUGAGGAUACAAGUAGAGGUGUGAUGAUCUCUCAACUACUUACAUCUAUAUUAGUCAAAAUCCCUGGUAAAGUGCCCAAAUGCACUUGUUCCCUUCCAAAUAAACAAACACUGUAUUUAUGUGAGCAGCUGGGGUUAAGAAUAUCAAGCUGCUAAUUAAACUCUGCAAUAGUUUUCACAGUGAAUAUAAUUGUCAGAAGUAUCUUACAACAAGGAAAUGUACUAUGUGAAAUUCCAUAUCUGUGACAGAAUCGGAGCAGUGAAUAGCUUCAUCCAGUUAUCUCCCUACCUGAUUUUAAAAAAUAAAGUCUGCAAGUACUUGACCUUACAUUUGAUUACUUGUUUAUCAUCCAUAACAAAGAGAGGCAAUAAAACACCUCCAACGCUGAUGAUCCUUUGUAAUACUUUUUAAACUUUCUAAAAAUAACCAUUCAACAAGUGACAGAAGGACCACGCUCUCUUCUUUUGUUUUUCCCAUUUGAGCAUGAACUGUAUCAGUGACUUUGAAAUUAACUAAUAGGUGGCACUGAGAACUCAUUAAGAAACCAGUCUCCUUGCAAUUGAACAGUAGUAAUGUUCCCCCCCUUAGAGAUUGUUUUCUGCCACUUGAACAUGUCAAUGAGACACCAUGAUCAUAGGAAUUACCUUAUGAUGGAGACAUAAUGCUAUGUAAUUAAAGACUGUGUCUAGGUUUCUUCAGAUGACUGAACAGUAUUAGCACCUGUUACCAGAAACCAAGUUUUACUUGUUUUUUAAAGAGUCUAAAUAUUCAAAACCAAGUUGGUCAAGUAAUUUUGUCGUACAGAACGUGGUAGGAGACCGUGGUAUGUAGCUAAGGUUGUGCAGACAGGGAGCCUUGGAAAAUAUUCUAUUUCUUUUGGAGCUGUAUUUAGAGGAAAGAUUGCAUCUGUUCCAUUUCAAAGAAAAAUCAAAAUACAUAUCUUCUGAAAAGCAUUGAGGACUAGUACGUGGUACUUUUUCACCUCUUGCAGUCAUACUGUGUAUCCUUAGAAGUGUUCACUUUUCCUCUAUUACACUGUCUUUUGAAUGUUACCCCAAAACAAAAGAAAUUUUGAACAUUUAUGUGGGAAAUUUUAAAAGUGUGUUUUAUUUCAUCUUUUAAAUGCAAGUGAAUAGGUAAGGAAAAAGCAUUAUGCUAUUGUAUUAUAUUUUGUAAAUGAAUUACAUUUGCAGUCCAAGCACUGGCUUCCAUUACAGCUGGCUACUAUGGUGGAUGGCAUAUUUCCGUAUGGAGCCAUUAAGAAAGAAUAACUAUGGAAUAAAUGACUUCAUAGUUGGUCAUUCAUCCUUCAGGGAGGAGGUGAUGACAUCAAAUAUCCUUUGAGACAUCCUUGGGAGCUAAAUCACACCAGUCAAAGUACAAGGUCCCUCUGCAGCCUCAAGGCGCAAUGCCCUGCACCUGCAGGCUGCAGAUGGCUUACCUGGGUGACCAGACCACAUUUUAAUGUGUGUUUCAAAUGGCUGACUAUGUGAAAACUCAGCUGAAUGACAGUUGGCAUCCUUGAAGCUGACUCUGUAUUUAAAUGUGGAGGAUAGCAGUUGGCCUGGGCUGCAGGUUUUUCGAUGCUGCUCCUGGCAGUGAGUGCCAGCUGCUGCACCACUUUGCAGUAUGGUGGAAUUUGUUUUCCAGUGAGGAAGAGGACCAUGGCCAAAAUUAUCUCUUUCUGACACAAUUUACCCAAGUUGAAUUCUUGGCAUUUAUAAUGGAAAAUACUGUAUUAGUGUACAUAGGAUGAAAAUGCACAUUCAUGGAAUGAAAUGCCACAACUUUACAGCAAUAAUAGCAGAAAUCAAGAGAAGAGGUAAAUCUGGCUCCAGGAGAGCUUCUUGUGACCACCACAGAACAUUCUCCACAGACCAGUUACAUGCUGCAUGUUUGUAUCUCGCAUGACAAUGUGAGCAAGCUGACUAAUAAGAUUAUAAUAGUGGUAAA